rnacentral:rRNA from 1 species
UACGUAGGUGGCAAGCGUUGUCCGGAUUUAUUGGGCGUAAGGGGAGCGCAGGCGGUGACUUAAGUCUGAUGUGAAAGCCCACGGCUCAACCGUGGAAGGUCAUUGGAAACUGGGUCACUUGAAUGGAGCAGAGGAGAACGGAAUUCCAUGUGUAGCAGUGAAAUGCGUAGAUAUAUGGAGGAACACCAGUGGCGAAGGCGGUUCUCUGGGCUCACAUUGACGCUGAGGCUCGAAAGCGUGGGGAGCGAACAGGAUUA